rnacentral:rRNA from 1 species
AUUGAACGCUGGCGGCAGGCCUAACACAUGCAAGUCGAGCGGAUGAAGGGAGCUUGCUCCUGGAUUCAGCGGCGGACGGGUGAGUAAUGCCUAGGAAUCUGCCUGGUAGUGGGGGAUAACGUCCGGAAACGGGCGCUAAUACCGCAUACGUCCUGAGGGAGAAAGGGGGGGAGCUUCGGACCUCACGCUAUCAGAUGAGCCUAUGUCGGAUUAGCUAGUUGGUGGGGUAAAGGCCUACCAAGGCGACGAUCCGUAACUGGUCUGAGAGGAUGAUCAGUCACACUGGAACUGAGACACGGUCCAGACUCCUACGGGAGGCAGCAGUGGGGAAUAUUGGACAAUGGGCGAAAGCCUGAUCCAGCCAUGCCGCGUGUGUGAAGAAGGUCUUCGGAUUGUAAAGCACUUUAAGUUGGGAGGAAGGGCAGUAAGUUAAUACCUUGCUGUUUUGACGUUACCAACAGAAUAAGCACCGGCUAACUUCGUGC